AUAUGUAUUAUGAUUUUAUUUCUUUCCCUAUUCCUUGUUGCAGAAAGUUUUGCCAGUAAGCAACUUUUAUAAUCCUUUUAAAAUUUCAUUCUUUAGUACUGAAUUUUGUUUUGUGAAGGAUUCUUUAGUAUUGUAUGUAAUUAUCUAUUCACACUCUUUUAUAUCGUUUUAUUAACAUUAUUAUUUUAUUCUAUUUUAUUCAUUACAGCGGGUAUGCCAUGUAAGACUGAUAAAGAAUGUCCAAACACUUCGACUCACAAGUAUAAAUGCAUUAACGAUGACUGUUUUUGCUUUUAUAUCUAUUGGCCAUUGGGAAAUUCUUUGGUUUAGUUAUACCAGAGUGACACAAUAAAUUGCAUGAAUAUCAUAUAUUUCGAGAGUAUACUCAAGCCAUAUAGGGAUUAAUAAUGUGUUUUUACACUAAAAAAUCUAUGCAAUGUAACUUUUGCUAGAUUAUUCUACGGUUUCCAUUCAUCUACUGUGAUCAUGGAACCUAAUAAUUAUAUCUUUUAUUUAUUUAUUUUGUACUCUAUGAACCUUGCAAUUAACUAUGGCUUAUUUUUAGCAUUCUCAUUUGCUAAGAAUCUAGAAGUGGCCUCUUGGAAGAUUCAACUUAAGGAUCUUCCCUCCUCGAUCUGGACAACUUUCAUGAAAUCAAUCCCUGCUCGGAGACCUUUCUUGAUUAGAUAUGUUUUCAUUUUUUCUUACACUCCUCGGAUUUGAAAAACUUCUUUUUUGAACCUCUCGAUGUAGUCUCGAAGAGAUUCAUUAUUUCCUUGUAUGAAGGCUUCGAGGGAAAAAAACCAUUUUAGGUUGAGUCGUUAAAGCUGUGAAAUGCACAGGGAACUCGUGGCGAAGUUUAUCCUAGGAGUCGAUGGAGUUCCUCUUGAGAUUCUUGUACCACAUCAUUGCUCCUCCGCGGAGUGUGGUCAUGAACAACUUGCACUUGACGAACCUUCUCUUAUUUCUAUAGUUGAGCACCACCUUGAUCUGCUCGUCUUGAUUGAAGGUUUUGUCGUAGGUCUCCAUUCGUUGAAGUUUCUCUAAUCUGGUGGGGAUUCGAGUUUCCCUUGUCCUUUUGGUGAAGGGCAUGUAUGCUUCACAAUCAACAUAUAAAUAAGAUGAGGACCACGAGCGUUUGGACGUACACCUUCUUUCAUGUUGUGAUCUUCAAGAUCUUCUAGCAUUUUCUCUAUAGGAUGUCAAGGAGAUAUGGAUCUGUCUAGAGUUGGACUCAUUCUCCUUAUGUUACUAUGGGGAGUAGGAGAUCGAAUAGUUGUCAUAGAGGUCGGAGACCUUCCACGCAUUUCCCUAGAUCGAGAUUCUUCCAUCUCCCUGAUGCGCCUGUUUUGAUCGUUGAUCACUUGUGUUUGUUGACACAGGUUCUUGAUAAUGUUGUUAAGCAAAACCUUUGUAGAAUAGACGUUACUCGUUCCUUCCUUAGGAAGUGGAGGACCGAAUAGUGGUGCCUUGCGGAUAGGGAUUACCAUUUGUUGUACAUGGUGUUCCGUCUCCUUCCUUGGGAUGUCAAUCGAAGCUGGAGUUGAGGUUUGUCUGUCACAGUUGACGGAGAGGACCUCAAUCAUUAGUUGGACGCAUCAUUAUCCAUUUUGUAGUAUGAAUAGUUUUUUUUUUUUUUUUUUAGUUUUCUUAUUUUGUAAGGAAAAAGAAGGGGAUAACUUAGUUUCCCACACACGACGCCACUAAUCUUACUUGGUGAGCAGAAUGAUGUCUGAUUCGGUGAACUAGCUGUUUAUACGACCUUGGAAUUAUGGAGGGUGGGGGUGGGGGGUACAUGCAUACACUCUGAUGGUCAAGUCAGUUUGUGAGCUAUAAUAGGGGUUAAAGAUUGUAAAAAAUCAUGCAUUUGAGGACUUGUGAAGUUCCCUUAUAUAGAAAAGAGGUGCAUAAGUCAUUGUUAAUGGAAAGAGUCGUUGCUCGGCUUUUAUGAUUCCAUGAAUCGUAACCGUCGAGCGUUAUAAUGUGGCAACCAUGGGGGCCGUUAUGAUUUUGUGUUUGAAUCAUUGCCCCGUGUUGCUACGAGCAUCCUCCUCGCGGAGAGGCAAUGUGAAGUAAGUAAUUGACCCAAUACUAAGUUUUAUUGGGCCCAAACUGAAAAAUAUAUGAAUUUGUGUUAAAUUAUUUUCUAUAUUAAUGAAGUCAUUGAAAAAGAUAAACAUGAUUGUUUUUUUUUUUUUUUGUGGUGAUCGGGAUUUGAACCUUAAACUUUGCAUAUAAUAUAUAUUGUCCAUAUCAACUGAGCUAAGCUCACGAGGACAAAUAAACAUGAUUUAUUAUAAUUUAAAAGUCACAAACAUAUAUACCCUUAAUAUUGAACAAAAUCAAAAUGUCAUACAAAAUAGUAUUCAUAUUUUACAUAAUUUUGCCCUGUAAAAACGGGGGACAUACGAGGAGUGCAUGUCUUAACAUUAUGUUACUUUUUCAACUAACUUAAAUCACUUAAGUUGUGUUAAUUAAUUUCGGGCUAAAAUAUAGUUUUGAUCCCUGCAAAUGUGCAUCGUUUUGGUUUUAGUCUUUGUAAAAAAAAAAUGUUGUUUUUGGUCCUUGCAAAAAAUUUUCAAAAGUAAAUUAUUUUGCAGGGACCUUU
rnacentral:lncRNA from 1 species